GCACUGCUGAAGAGUCGUACAAUAGGAUGAAAUGGCCGUCCAGUGU
rnacentral:hammerhead_ribozyme from 1 species